ensembl:lncRNA
GGAGAUUUUCAAAAACCGUUUUUGCGUUUAGGUGUGGAUGAGGGAAACAGAGGAAACGCAGCAUCAAAGGUCUGUGCCUUUUUUGACAUCACACCAUGUGCCAGGUUAUUGCUUCGGUGAAAGGAAUUUCUACAAUGACUUAGAAAAAAUACCAUUACUGUUAAUUUUACUCUAUGCAGUGUUAAUAUGCUUACAUACACACAGUUACUGUCCCUCCACACAUAGGACUCAGUUCUGCUUCUAUGCACCAUCUUUGUUUACGCUUUCCCACCCAGGCUUCAUGACUUCUGAUUGGCCAACAUUUCUACACAUUAGGAAUAUAUCGCCACCUGCUGCUUUAGCAGCAGCGUUUUGGCUUUUACGAGUGGAUGGGAUUUUGUUUUUUUUUGUUUUUUUUUUAGGAAAACAGAAAAUGUCCGUUUUCAAAAUUACCCAUGUACGUGUGGACGUAGCCUAAGAGAGUGAUCCAGGCAGUGUUUAGGCUGAAAAAGCUGUGUUUGCACUAAUUUAUUCAUAAAUAAUCCUAAUUAUACAUCUUGCUUCCAUGUUUGUAUCCUGUGUCACUAAAAAUACAUUUUAUUUUAAUUUUAUACAUUGAUUAAUGACCUGCAGGAUCUCCUUAUCAUAUUAAGUGAUUCAUAAUUGUCACUUUAUGCUUUCUACAUCGCUAAAGUGAUGACAUCCUUGCAUUACAUACUUUAGGUUCAUUUUCUGCAGGCAAUUUUCUGACAGAGAACAGACAGAUUUACACUAUAACAUGCAGCGUUCUAUAGAUGGACACAUAAAGAAAUGAAAAAUUACAUGUGCUGCACUCUCAAAGACUGAAUGAACCAGCAUUGCAGCCAUGGGUCACUGUGAGCAUCACAGGGAAGGUUGAAGCCGCCCACUGCAGCUGUAAGGCCGGAGUCGCAGAGACCUGCAGCCAUGUCGCUGCUCUUCUGUUUAAUGUAGAAGCAACAGUGUUGAUCUGUGGCACAAGGACUGUUACAGAUGAACCUGCAUACUGGGUUUUGCUGGGUAAUAAUACCAAGAUACAGCCAGAGGUUGGCCAUAAGAUGGACUUCUCCUCUUCAGCUGCCUAAAAAAGGCUCUUGAUCAAAACAUAAACAGACCAUCCGUAUUGAAAGGUAAAAGGAGCCAUCCUCAAAAAAGAAAAAUCCCUCCUGCUACUGUGGAGGAGUUGUCACUGCUAUUGGAUACUUUGCUGGAACACAGUAAAGCUGUGGGUUGUGGGAAUGACCCAUAAUGUUUUAUCUAGGGGUCUAGAUUUAUGCCUGUGGUGCACUGCCGUGUAAAUAAUUUGCAUUUACUGAAUAUCUACUGACUGAGUCCCACUGUUCAAAAGUUGAAUAAAGAAACAAACUAAUUUUGCCUCUUUUUUUAUUAAAACCACUUUAUAGAACAUCACAUCAGUGUAGAAUCCAUGUCAUUUA